GCGUCCGUAGCUCAGCUGGAUAGAGCGACGGCCUCCGGAGCCGUAGGUCGCAGGUUCGAAUCCUGCCGGACGCGCCA
rnacentral:tRNA from 1 species